CCGUACUGUGUUGCUUUGGCGGGCCCGCCGUUCAGGCUGCCGGGGGGUAGGAAUGAUGCCCUGCCCCCGGGCCCGUGUCCGCCGGAGAUGAGGGAAAAACUCUUGUUGUCGGAUAUGCUGUCUGAGUGGAUAACAGAAGAAAUCAUUUAAAACUUUCAACAAUGGAUCUCUUGGUUCCGGCAUCGAUGAAGAACGCAGCGAAAUGCGAUAAGUAAUGUGAAUUGCAGAAUUCCGUGAAUCAUCGAAUCUUUGAACGCAUAUUGCGCCCUCUGGCAUUCCGGAGGGCAUGCCUGUCCGAGCGUCAUUGCCAUCCCUCAAGCCCGGCUUGGGUGUUGGGCCGUCGUCCCCUCCCCCAGGGGGGACGGGCCCGAAAGGCAGUGGCGGCGCCGGGUUCGGUCCUGGAGCGUAUGGGGCUUCAUUACUCCGCUCUGCAGGAUCGACCGGGGCCAGCCUCCCUGGUCUUCCCCUCUUAGGUUGACCUCGGAUCAGGUAGGGAUACCCGCUGAACUUAAGCAUAUCAAUAAGCGGAGGAAAAGAAACCAACCGGGAUUGCCCUAGUAACGGCGAGUGAAGCGGCAAGAGCUCAAAUUUGAAAUCUGGCCUCCUGGGUGGGGGUUCGAGUUGUAAUUUGGAGAGGAUGCUUCGGGCUCGGUUCCCAUCUAAGUGCCCUGGAACGGGUUGUCAGAGAGGGUGAGAAUCCCGUCUGGGAUGGGUGGCCGGGUCUAUGUGUAGCUCCUUCGACGAGUCGAGUUGUUUGGGAAUGCAGCUCCAAGUGGGUGGUAAAUUUCAUCUAAAGCUAAAUAUUGGCCGNAGNCCGAU
rnacentral:rRNA from 1 species